CCUACGGGGGGCUGCAGUGGGGAAUAUUGGACAAUGGGGGCAACCCUGAUCCAGCCAUGCCGCGUGUGUGAAGAAGGCCCUCGGGUUUGAAAGCACUUUCAGUGAGGAAGAACGCCUGGUGGUUAAUACCCAUCAGGAAAGACAUCACUCACAGAAGAAGCACCGGCUAACUCCGUGCCAGCAGCCGCGGUAAUACGGAGGGUGCGAGCGUUAAUCGGAAUUACUGGGCGUAAAGCGCGCGUAGGUGGCUUGAUAAGCCGGUUGUGAAAGCCCCGGGCUCAACCUGGGAACGGCAUCCGGAACUGUCAAGCUAGAGUGCAGGAGAGGAAGGUAGAAUUCCCGGUGUAGCGGUGAAAUGCGUAGAGAUCGGGAGGAAUACCAGUGGCGAAGGCGGCCUUCUGGACUGACACUGACACUGAGGUGCGAAAGCGUGGGUAGCAAACAGGAUUAGAUACCCCUGUAGUC
rnacentral:rRNA from 1 species